UACGUAGGUGGCGAGCGUUGUCCGGAUUUACUGGGCGUAAAGAGCGCGCAGGCGGUCGUUCAAGUCGCGUGUGAAAGCCCCCGGCUCAACUGGGGAGGGUCACGCGAUACUGAUCGACUCGAAGGCAGGAGAGGGAAGUGGAAUUCCCGGUGUAGUGGUGAAAUGCGUAGAUAUCGGGAGGAACACCAGUGGCGAAGGCAGCUCGCUGGGACGUUACUGACGCUGAGACACGAAAGCCAGGGGAGCGAACGGG
rnacentral:rRNA from 1 species